rnacentral:tRNA from 1 species
GGCAGCCUUGCAUAGUGGUUUGAGCAUUGGACUAGGACUCUGGAGACCCGGGUUCGAUUCCCAGCUUGGCCA